AUUGAACGCUGGCGGCAGGCUCAACACAUGCAAGUCGAGCGGUAACAGAGAGAAGCUUGCUUCUCUGCUGACGAGCGGCGGACGGGUGAGUAAUGCCUAGGAAUCUGCCUAGUAGUGGGGGAUAACUUGCCGAAAGGUAAGCUAAUACCGCAUACGUCCUACGGGAGAAUGGAGGGGACCGUCGGGACUUUCGCUAUUAGAUGAGCCUAUGGCCUGUUAGCUAGUGGGUAGGGUAAAAGCCUACAAAGGCGAGGAGUGGUAGCCGGCCUGAGAGGGUGUACGGCCACACUGGAACUGAGACACGGUCCAGACUUCUACGGGAGGCAGCAGUGGAGAAUCUUGCACAAUGGGCGAAAGCCUGAUGCAGCGACGCCGCGUGGAGGAUGAAGGUUUUCGGAUUGUAAACUCCUGUUAAGUGGGAAGAAAGAUUCAUACCUAAUACGUAUGGAGGAUGACGGUACCACUAGAGAAAGCACCGGCAAACUUCGUGCCAGCCGCCGCGGUAA
rnacentral:rRNA from 1 species